rnacentral:misc_RNA from 1 species
AGAACACUUGCUAAGCUUAGCAUAUAGCUUCUAUUGUUGUAGGACUUUAAACACUUCUUCUAGGUGUUGCAAAUGCUCCUUCCAUGAAGAACUAUAUAUCAGAAUAUCAUGAAAGAAUACCAAAACAAACUUCCUCCGAAAAUAAGAGCUUGAAAUGUAGUUGGAGCAUUUGUCAACCCAAAAGGCAUUACAGUAAACUCGUAGUGCCCAUGAUGUAUUCUAAAGGCUGUCUUAUGAACAUAUGAGGGAUUCAUUCUGAUUUGAUGGUAUCCAGCUUUCAAAUCAGCUUAGAAAAGAUUGAAGUACCAUGAAGCUCAUCUACAAGAUCAUCUAUAAUAGGAAUUGGGAACUUGUCUUUAAUAGUAAGAUCAUUCAACUUCCUGUAGUCAAUGCAAAAUCUCCAAGAGCCAUCUUUCUUCUUGACAAGUAGUACUGGAGAAGAAUAUGGACUGGUGCUAGGUUGAAUGACCUCAUUUUGUAACAUUUCAUCCACAAGUUUCUCUAUUUCUGUCUUCUGAAAAUGUGGGUACCUAUAAGGCCUGAUAUUGACAGGUAAUGCUGAAGGUACCAAGGGAAUUGAAUGGUUGUGACUUCUGAAAGGUGGCAGGCCUUUUGGAUCCUCAAAAAUUCCAUGAUACUCAUCCAAUAAUGACUGCAAUUCAACUGAAUAAGGACUUGAGGGUGCUGCAGUACCUUGAAAUGCAACAGAAUUACUUGAGAAUGCUGCAGUAUUUGGAAUUACUGAAGAAUGUGACUCAGAAACUUGUAUGCAAAACAACGGAGUUUGAAAAUCCUUUCCCUGCUUGUGUAAAAGCCGUUGACAACUCAUACAAUUCAGUAGCUUAGAGUGAGAACCCAAAUCACCAAUUCCCUGUAAAGUUAUUGACUUCCCAUCCUUCUUAAAACUGAUUUUUGAAUUCUGAAAAUCAAACAGAAUGGGAUUACAUGUUUUUAUUCAGUCAACUCCCAAAAUCAUAUCAAAACUUCCCAUUUCCAACAACCUCAAGUCAAAAUUGAAAGAGUAUUGCUGAAUCUUCCAGCUAAAUGCAAGGCACACACUAUUGCUUGCAAUUUUUCUGCCAUUUGCUACUGUAACGGAUAUUGCAGGGACUUUCACCAAUAGAAUCUUCAAUUCACUUGCUACUUUGGCAUCCAAAAAACUGUGAGUACUACCACUGUCUACAAGAAUCAGUAGCUCCCUAUUUUGAUGCCUUCCAAUGACCCUUAUAGUUUCAGCUCCUUGAAUUCCCUCAAUAGCAUGGACUGACAGAGUUGCUGCCUCUGCACUAUCAGGGAAAUAUUUUUGUCCACAUUUAAAGCAAGGUUUGGGCUGUCUGAUGGAGUUAGAAGCAUUGGAGCUGGUAAAAUUGGGUUUAAUAGCUGGUUGGUUGACAGAAGAUUGACUAGUGGUAGGUAAAGUUUUCUAUGUAGACUGAUUUUGAUUGGUGAAAUUAGGUUGUUUCAGAUGGAAAUUUUGGUUUGCAUUAGGUGGUUUAGGGGCAUAAGGAUAUUGUUGAGAAUUUUGAACAGUUUUGUGAGUAGUAGGUAAUGAAGAUAGAGAGUUAUUAGGUCUAUAAUUGCUUUGGUAAGGUCUGGAAUAGGCAUUAGGUUUUCUGGUAUUAUUCAAAAGCUGCUCUUGCAAUCUUGCAGUUUCAAUAGCUUGCGAAAGAGUUGUUGGUUUGAACAUUUUGACCAUAGGUCGAAUAUCAUCCCUCAAUCCACUUACAAAGCUGGACAGAAAAUAGGUUUCUCCUAAAUGAGGCAUUUCCCUUUCCAAUCUAAUUCUAAUGUCUUCAAAUUUGUCCUGAUACUCCUCAAGAGUACCUUCUUGUCUCAUUCUCAUA